rnacentral:rRNA from 1 species
GGAUUAGAUACCCUGGUAGUCCACGCCCUAAACGAUGAGAACUAGCCGUUGGGGGUAUUUGAAACCUUUAGUGGCGCAGCUAACGCGAUAAGUUCUCCGCCUGGGGAGUACGGCCGCAAGGUUAAAACUCAAAGGAAUUGACGGGGGCCCGCACAAGCGGUGGAGCAUGUGGUUUAAUUCGAUGCAACGCGAAGAACCUUACCUGCCCUUGACAUCUAGCGAACUUUCCAGAGAUGGAUUGGUGCCUUCGGGAACGCUAAGACAGGUGCUGCAUGGCUGUCGUCAGCUCGUGCCG